rnacentral:rRNA from 1 species
ACAAAAAUGCACAUGCUGUGAGCUCGAUGAGUAGGGCGGGACACGUGGUAUCCUGUCUGAAUAUGGGGGGACCAUCCUCCAAGGCUAAAUACUCCUGACUGACCGAUAGUGAACCAGUACCGUGAGGGAAAGGCGAAAAGAACCCCGGCGAGGGGAGUGAAAAAGAACCUGAAACCGUGUACGUACAAGCAGUGGGAGCCUCUUAAUGGGGUGACUGCGUACCUUUUGUAUAAUGGGUCAGCGACUUAUAUUCUGUAGCAAGGUUAACCGAAUAGGGGAGCCGAAGGGAAACCGAGUCUUAACUGGGCGUUAAGUUGCAGGGUAUAGACCCGAAACCCGGUGAUCUAGCCAUGGGCAGGUUGAAGGUUGGGUAACACUAACUGGAGGACCGAACCGACUAAUGUUGAAAAAUUAGCGGAUGACUUGUGGCUGGGGGUGAAAGGCCAAUCAAACCGGGAGAUAGCUGGUUCUCCCCGAAAGCUAUUUAGGUAGCGCCUCGUGAAUUCAUCUCCGGGGGUAGAGCACUGUUUCGGCAAGGGGGUCAUCCCGACUUACCAACCCGAUGCAAACUGCGAAUACCGGAGAAUGUUAUCACGGGAGACACACGGCGGGUGCUAACGUCCGUCGUGAAGAGGGAAACAACCCAGACCGCCAGCUAAGGUCCCAAAGUCAUGGUUAAGUGGGAAACGAUGUGGGAAGGCCCAGACAGCCAGGAUGUUGGCUUAGAAGCAGCCAUCAUUUAAAGAAAGCGUAAUAGCUCACUGGUCGAGUCGGCCUGCGCGGAAGAUGUAACGGGGCUAAACCAUGCACCGAAGCUGCGGCAGCGACACUAUGUGUUGUUGGGUAGGGGAGCGUUCUGUAAGCCUGUGAAGGUGGCCUGUGAGGG